rnacentral:rRNA from 1 species
UACGUAGGGCGCAAGCGUUGUCCGGAAUUAUUGGGCGUAAAGAGCUCGUAGGUGGUUUGUUACGUCUGCUGUGAAAACCUAGGGCUUAACCCUGGGCCUGCAGUGGAUACGGGCAGACUAGAGGUAGGUAGGGGAGAAUGGAAUUCCCGGUGUAGCGGUGAAAUGCGCAGAUAUCGGGAGGAACACCGGUGGCGAAGGCGGUUCUCUGGGCAUUACCUGACGCUGAGGAGCGAAAGUGUGGGGAGCGAACAGG